GAAAGAUUCAUCGGAAGAGGAUGGGCAUGCGGCGCAUUAGCUAGACGGCGGGGUAACGGCCCACCGUGGCGACGAUGCGUAGGGGUUCUGAGAGGAAGGUCCCCCACACUGGUACUGAGACACGGACCAGACUCCUACGGGAGGCAGCAGUGAGGAAUAUUGGUCAAUGGGAGAGAUCCUGAACCAGCCAAGCCGCGUGAGGGAAGACGGCCCUAUGGGUUGUAAACCUCUUUUGUCGGAGAACAAAACCCGGGACGUGUCCCGGACUGCGUGUAUCCGAAGAAAAAGCAUCGGCUAACUCCGUGCCAGCAGCCGCGGUAAUACGGAGGAUGCGAGCGUUAUCCGGAUUUAUUGGGUUUAAAGGGUGCGUAGGCGGUCCGUUAAGUCAGCGGUAAAAUUGCGGGGCUCAACCCCGUCGAGCCGUUGAAACUGGCAGACUUGAGUUGGCGAGAAGUACGCGGAAUGCGCGGUGUAGCGGUGAAAUGCAUAGAUAUCGCGCAGAACUCCGAUUGCGAAGGCAGCGUACCGGCGCCAGACUGACGCUGAGGCACGAAAGCGUGGGGAUCGAACAGGAUUAGAUACCCUGGUAGUCCACGCAGUAAACGAUGAAUGCUGGUUGUCC
rnacentral:rRNA from 1 species